ensembl:lncRNA
UUUUAUUAAGGCACAUUUGAUGAAAAGUGACUUUCUACACUUCAAAUGUCACUUUUUUCACCUUAGCAUACUUUAUCAAGUUUGACAUUUUAAUGUAAACAAUCAUGUUUCGUAAUAUUUUAGGUCAGAAACAUUUCAUAGUACUAUAUUAUGUCUAACUAUGUGAAAAAUAUCAUAUUGGAGUACGUCGGGCAAUUGAUUAUAUGAGUUUGUUAGAAAAACCACUUUCCUUUGCUCCUAGCGCCUUCUCAAGCGCUGUAUAGGGUUUUCAGCGUAUAAAGUGCACCAGUGUGACACACAGGAUGAAAGGGAAUUAGUUUUGUUAUUGCACUUUUGAUGAAAAGUAACUUUCUACACUUCAAAUGUAACUUUUUUCACCUUAUCAUACAUUAUCAUCAAGUUUGACAUUUUAAUGUAAACAAUCAUAUUUCGUAUUAUUUCACGUCAGAAACAUUUCAUAGUACUAUAUUAUGUCUAACUAUGUGAAAAAUACCAUAUUGGAGUAUGUCGGGCAAUUUUUAUAUGAGUUUGUUAGAAAAACCCCUUUCCUUUGCUCCUGGCGCCUUCUAAAGUGCUGUAUCGCGUUUUCAACGUAUAAAGAGCACCAGUGUGUAUGGACACACAGGAUGAAUGGGAACAAGUUUUGUUAUGGUACUUUUGAUGAAAAGUUACUUUCUACACUUCAAAUGUCACUUUUUUCAACUUAUCAUACUUUAUCAUCAAGUUUUACAUUUUAAUGUAAACAAUCAUAUUUCGUAUUAUUUUAGGUCAGAAACAUUUCAUAGUACUACUUUAUGUCUAACUAUGUGAAAAAAAUCAAAUUGGAGUACGUCGGGCACUUGAUUACAUGAGUUUGUUAGAAAAACCACUUUCCUUUGCUCCUGGCGCCUUCUCGUUCGCUGUAUAGCGUUUUGAGCGGAUAAAGAGCACAAGUGUGCAUGGACACAUAGGAUGAAUGGAAACAUGUUUUGUUAUGGUACUUUUGAUGAAAAGUGAAUUUCUGACCUUCAAAUGUCACUUUUUUCAACUUAUCAUACGUUAUCAUCAAGUUUUACAUUUUAAUGUAAACAAUCGUAUUUGGUAUUUUUUUAGGUCAGAAACAUUUCAUAGUACUACAUUAUGUCUAACUAUGUGAAAAAAAUCAAAUUGGAGUACGUCGGGCACUUGAUUACAUGAGUUUGUUAGAAAAACCACUUUCCUUUGCUCCUAGCGCCUUCUCGUUCGCUGUAUAGCGUUUUGAGCGGAUAAAGAGCACAAGUGUGCAUGGACACAUAGGAUGAAUGGAAACAAGUUUUGUUAUGGUACUUUUGAUGAAAAGUGAAUUUCUGACCUUCAAAUGUCACUUUUUUCAACUUAUCAUACGUUAUCAUCAAGUUUUACAUUUUAAUGUAAACAAUCAUAUUUCGUAUUAUUUUAGGUCAGAAACAUUUCAUAGUACUACUAUUAUGUCUAACUAUGUGAAAAAAAUCAAAUUGGAGUACGUCGGGCACUUGAUUACAUGAGUUUGUUAGAAAAACCACUUUCCUUUGCUCCUAGCGCCUUCUCGUUCGCUGUAUAGCGUUUUGAGCGGAUAAAGAGCACAAGUGUGCAUGGACACAUAGGAUGAAUGGAAACAAGUUUUGUUAUGGUACUUUUGAUGAAAAGUGAAUUUCUGACCUUCAAAUGUCACUUUUUUCAACUUAUCAUACGUUAUCAUCAAGUUUUACAUUUUAAUGUAAACAAUCAUAUUUCGUAUUAUUUUAGGUCAGAAACAUUUCAUAGUACUAUAUUAUGUCUAACUAUGUGAAAAAAAUCAAAUUGGAGUACGUCGGGCACUUGAUUACAUGAGUUUGUUAGAAAAACCACUUUCCUUUGCUCCUAGCGCCUUCUCGUUCGCUGUAUAGCGUUUUGAGCGGAUAAAGAGCACAAGUGUGCAUGGACACAUAGGAUGAAUGGAAACAAGUUUUGUUAUGGUACUUUUGAUGAAAAGUGAAUUUCUGACCUUCAAAUGUCACUUUUUUCACCUUAUCAUACAUUAUCAUCAAGUUUUACAUUUUAAUGUAAACAAUCAUAUUUCGUAUUAUUUUAGGUCAGAAACAUUUCAUAGUACUAUAUUAUGUCUAACUAUGUGAAAAAAAUCAAAUUGGAGUACGUCGGGCACUUGAUUACAUGAGUUUGUUAGAAAAACCACUUUCCUUUGCUCCUAGCGCCUUCUCAGUCGCUGUAUAGCGUUUUGAGCGGAUAAAGAGCACAAGUGUGCAUGGACACAUAGGAUGAAUGGAAACAAGUUUUGUUAUGGUACUUUUGAUGAAAAGUGAAUUUCUGACCUUCAAAUGUCACUUUUUUCAACUUAUCAUACUUUAUCAUCAAGUUUUACAUUUUAAUGUAAACAAUCAUAUUUCGUAUUAUUUUAGGGUCAGAAACAUUUCAUAGUACUAUAUUAUGUCUACCUAUGUAAAAAAAAUCAAAUUGGAGUACGUCG